GAUGUCAUGGUUUUGUAACUUCGCUAUUGGUAUUCCACAUCAUAACAUCAUGGACAAAAGAGAAGAACUACGUAUCCCAGAGGACCUCACGGUCAGAGAAGGAAGACACAUCAGGGAAGAUACGUCAUCUGGUUGCGCGCGAUUCUUCUUCACUUUCGCUUGCUGCCGGGAGAGUGUGCUCCCAAGCCGGGAGUGCUUUCCCAAGCUUGGGUGUUCUUUCCAAGCCGGGCGCCUUCAUCAAGUUCCCAUUGCACUGAACUGAAUGGUGCUGUACAGUUUUUUCUCGUUAAUGCCAUCAUCAAUACUCAGAUCACUUUCUUAAGAAGAAUUAUUCACACUGCUGCCACCUAAAUUAAUGCAGCAUUUCCAGAAUACAUUUGACUGGUAUAUAUGUAAUCAGAAAUAAACAUUUUUGGACUUCUACCCUGGAUCUAUGAGAACCAGAGUAAUAUUAAAAAUGACAUGGUGAUUUAUUCAUGUUUCUUGAUUAACUUUUUACCAUCAAAUUUGUGACAGCUAAAAAUUCUUUCAGUUUUGAUGAUGAUUAAUCCAUAUGAUGUGGCAGAUAUCCAAUAAGUAUGAUACUAAGUGUAUCUCCUUUACCAGUUUAUUUGCUAGCUGCUAAUAAAUCCAACUAGUGAAGAUCAGGUUUGUGGCCACCUGAGGAACUUGAUCACCUACAAGUCUAUGGGUCCCAAUGAGAUGCAUCCCAGAGUCCUGAGAGAAUUUGCUGAUGUAGUUGCCAAGCCACUCUUUGUGAUAUUUGAACAGUUGUGGCAAUCAGGAGAAGACCCUGGUAACUGGAAGAAAAGGCAGCAUCAUACCCAUUUUUAAUAAGGGUAAAAGGGAUGAUCCUGAGAACUACUGUCCUAUCAGUCUCACCUCUGUACCAGGAAAGAGAGCAGAUCCUCCUGGAAGCUAUACUAAGAUACAUGGAAGGCAAGGAGGUGAAGUAGGAGAACCAGCAUGGCUUCACCAGUGCCAAAUCCUGUUUGACUAACAUGGUGGCCUUUUAUGAUGGUGUCACUGCAUCUGUGUAUAAGGGAAGAGACACUGAUGUCAUCUAUCUGGUCUUCAGUAAGGCCUUUUACAUGAUACCCCCAUUACAUUCUUCUCUCCAAAUUGGAAAUAUAUGGAUUUGAUGGGUGGACUGUUCAAUGGAUGAAGAACUGGCUGCAGGAUUGAGUCCAGAGAGU
ensembl:lncRNA